AGCGUAGGCGGACAUUUAAGUCAGGGGUGAAAUCCCAGAGCUCAACUCUGGAACUGCCUUUGAUACUGGGUAUCUUGAGUAUGGAAGAGGUAAGUGGAAUUCCGAGUGUAGAGGUGAAAUUCGUAGAUAUUCGGAGGAACACCAGUGGCGAAGGCGGCUUACUGGUCCAUUACUGACGCUGAGGUGCGGAAGCGUGGGGAGCAAACA
rnacentral:rRNA from 1 species